rnacentral:rRNA from 1 species
CGGACGGGUGAGUAAUGUCUGGGAAACUGCCCGAUGGAGGGGGAUAACUACUGGAAACGGUAGCUAAUACCGCAUAACGUCGCAAGACCAAGAGGGGACCUUCGGGCCUCUUGCCAUCGGAUGUGCCCAGAUGGGAUUAGCUAGUAGGUGGGUAACGGCUCACCUAGGCGACGAUCCCUAGCUGGUCUGAGAGGAUGACCAGCCACACUGGAACUGAGACACGGUCCAG